UACGUAGGGUGCAAGCGUUCAUCGGAAUUACUGGGCGUAAAGCGUGCGCAGGCUGUUCGGCAAGAAAGGUGUGAAAUCCCAGGGCUUAACCUUGGAAUGGCACUUUUAACUGCCGAGCUAGAGUAUGUCAGAGGGGGGUAGAAUUCCACGUGUAGCAGUGAAAUGCGUAGAGAUGUGGAGGAAUACCGAUGGCGAAGGCAGCCCCCUGGGAUAAUACUGACGCUCAGGCACGAAAGCGUGUGGAGCAAACAGG
rnacentral:rRNA from 1 species